rfam:Camelus ferus unplaced genomic scaffold scaffold1397, whole genome shotgun sequence.
GAGGGUGUAGCUUAGUGGUAGAGUGCAUGCUUAGCAUGCACAAUGUUCUAGGUUCAAUCCCCAGUACCUCCA